rnacentral:rRNA from 1 species
CGAACGCUGGCGGCGUGCCUAACACAUGCAAGUCGAACGAGAAGUACGUAGCAAUACGUAUUGUAAAGUGGCGCACGGGUGAGUAACACGUGGGUAAUCUGCCCUUGAGUUUGGGAUAACCCCGCGAAAGCGGGGCUAAUACCGGAUAAGACCACGGAGACCAAAGUCUCUGAGGUAAAAGGUGGCCUCUAUUUAUAAGCUACCACUUGAGGAUGAGCCCGCGGCCCAUUAGCUAGUUGGCAGGGUAACGGCCUACCAAGGCAAUGAUGGGUAGCUGGUCUGAGAGGACGAUCAGCCACACUGGAACUGAGACACGGUCCAGACUCCUACGGGAGGCAGCAGUGGGGAAUAUUGCGCAAUGGGCGAAAGCCUGACGCAGCAACGCCGCGUGGGGGAUGAAGGUUCUCGGAUUGUAAACCCCUUUCGAUCGGAACGAAUCCCCUCCUGGUAAAUAAUCAGGAGGAUCGACGGUACCGAGAGAAGAAGCCACGGCUAACUCUGUGCCAGCAGCCGCGGUAAGACAGAGGUGGCGAGCGUUGUUCGGAUUUAUUGGGCGUAAAGCGAACGCAGGUGGUUUGGUAAGUCAGGGGUGAAAGACCACAGCUUGACUGUGGCAUUGCCUUUGAUACUGCCUUUCUUGAGUAGAGUAGGGGGAAGCGGAAUUCCGAGUGUAGAGGUGAAAUUCGUAGAUAUUCGGAGGAACACCGGUGGCGAAGGCGGCUUCCUGGACUCUAACUGACACUCAUGUUCGAAAGCGUGGGGAGCAAACAGGAUUAGAUACCCUGGUAGUCCACGCCCUAAACGAUGGGCACUAGGUGUGGGAGGUAUCGACCCCUUCCGUGCCGCAGCUAACGCAUUAAGUGCCCCGCCUGGGGAGUACGGCCGCAAGGUUGAA